AGAAACCCAAAAGAUCGAAUGGGGAGAUUCAUCGUCAGCUCAUUUUGUAUAUAUAUGAGGUAUGAUAUGGGUUACUACUUGUAGUAUUGCCUGUACAUUUUGUAUAUUUUAUUGCAAGAUGUUGUCGGCGUGCACUUCUCCCCUAGUAGGACGUCGCGACCCGUUGAGUGUCGGUCUACGGCCCAAGUGGUAGCCUUUAAUUUUUUUAAAAUUGAAGACCCUUGGUGUUUCCUGACUGGCUACUCGGCGGUAUUCGUACGGUAUUAAGCCGCAUUUUUGCGUUCAUAUCCGUCGCAAGCGCGGUCAAUUUUUGGCAGUACGGACCUAGUGCCGUCGCUAUAAUUGACCAGCUGUUGGUUGUACGGUGUUCUAGAACUGGCUUAUAUAUAUAUACCGGUCAGCGAUGCUUCAGCUUUGGUA
rnacentral:rRNA from 1 species